rnacentral:piRNA from 1 species
UAACUCCCUAGGAAGUGCUGCUGG